GUCACACUUGCCCCCAAGCAAGUCCCAGCCGCCUCCCCUGGGCAGCCUUCCUUGACCCCUCAGGGCAGGGAACAGCUGUCCCUUCCAGAUGUCCCACGGGAGGCAACCGUGGCGGCUGAGUCACACCCACGCAGCCGAGGCUCUUAGACCAGCGUGUCCCAAGCGUCAUUCGUUGAGCAACUGGAACUGGGCGCCGGGCCCGGGGCGCUGGACCGCUGGCCCCAUCCCCAGCUCUUCUGGUUUCUGUGCUGAGGCGGGUCUCACUACGCCCCUCAGCCUCCCGGUGGCUGGGAUCACAGGUCACCGCCCCCGCCCAGUGCCACCCUCUCAGCCACCCCAGUCCCUUUCCUGGACGUGUGACCACCUCCACCACCUCCCGGUUCCCCGUCCCUCCUUGAAUUGCCCUUUGGCACUGAACACACUGGACAUUCCAGGUGUCGCUGUUUCCCUGUGUGGGAUCGGUCACCCUGCCGGGGACGCGGGCUCUAGAAGGCAGGGUCUUGUCUGUGUGGCUCCCUGUGAAGCCCCCAGCCCCCUGAGGAGCGUCCCUGCUCCCGGCCGAGGGAGAGUGAAGGGGGCCCCGCGUGGACGCCUUCCCAGGGCCACUCUGUCGCACGCCGUCUUGGCACCGCGUCCACCCGGCUGAGGCAGAGCCGAAGGGCCUUCAUCAAAUUCCAGCUCUGCCGCAGGCCGGCUGCUUGACCCUGAAAACCACGUCACCACUCGGAACCGCUGUUUCCUCUUUCGUCAUAAGGUGCCCACCCCUUUGCACCAGGAGGAGGGACACAGAAGUCGGCCCGGGUCGCGCACUCUGCCGCGGGGACAUUCCUGGACUCGACUCUUGGGCACGUCUCUGGGAUGGACUCCCAGAGGUUGAACCCCUGGGUCAGAAGGCGCAAGGACUCCAAGGACCCACCCACCACACAUGGCCAAGGACAUCCAGGGCCCGUCUGGGAGACCUGCCUACCACGUCCCCUCUGCCCCAGGCCACCCCCUUUUAGGCACCACCAGUGAGACAGGCAAAGGCCACUCUCACCCUUUAAUUAAUCCACAUUUUAAACCAUUUCGUCUGCUGUUUUCCUAGCGCUGGUUCACAGCUCAGUGCGCUGAGGGUCACCGCGUGCGGGUCUUGGGCGAGGCACCCUCCCCCUGAAUUAGCCUGCUGUCGUGCCAGGGACGGAACCCAGGGCGCCGAACCCGGAGCCACGUCCCAGCCCUUUUUAUUUUCUUAUUUUGAGACAGAGUCUUGCUAAGUUGCCCAGGGCCUCACUAGUUAUGAGGCUGGUGAUCCUUCUGCCUCAGCCUCCCAAGUCGCUGGGAUUACAGGCGUGAGCUGCUGUCCCUGACCCUUUUUUUUGGUGAUGCUGGGAAUGGAACCCAGGCCCCGCCCACACGGAGCACAGGGUGUACCACUGAGCUGCAUCCCAGUCGCGCUCCAUAAAACAUCUUCAUCAGACUUCUGGGGAUACACCCAAAAGAUGUGAAGGCUGGGGACCCGGGGCUCCAGUAGACAUUGGUUCACCCACGUUCACAAUGGUCCAAAGGUGAAAGUAGGUGGCAGAUGGGUGGGUGACAGGGUGUGGUACUGUGUACACGAGUGUGUGUGUACUCAGACGUAUGCAUACAUAUGUGUGCCGUGGAAUAUUAGUCAGCCUUAAAAAGGAAGGGAAUUUUGCUCCAUGCUAUGGCACAGAUGAAGCUUGAAGACGUCUACUCUUUCUUUCUUCCUUUCUCUUUCUCUUUCCCUCUCUUACAUGGGCCUCGCUAUGUCACCCAGGCUGGCCUCGAACUCGUGGGUUGUGGUGCGAGAUCCUCCUGCCUCAGCCUCCAACUAACUGAGAGGCUGUCAGGCACCGGGCAAGCCAGCAGCCGGCCACGAGAGGCCAGUCCUGGGGAUUCCUAUCGCGGGAGGUCCCUAGAGCAGUCGAUUCCUAGCUCCCCUCCCCGUCCCCCGAAAACAAAACAAAAAAUAAAUGGGAACGGCGGUCACCCUGGGCCAGGGGGGUUGGUGUUUGAUGGACAGUUUCACUUGGGGAAAAUGAACGGUUCUGGAGGUGGCUGGUGUGAUGCUUUCACACAAAUGUGAACGCACUUGACCCCACAGAACUAUCCCUAAAAAUGGUCAAAAUGGUAGAUUUUAUGUCAUGUAUAUAUUUCAGGGCAAUAAAAGUCUCUUAAGCUCCAUAAAAUCCUGUGAGGUACUUAUUAUUAUCACCCUCCCCCUUUUUGAAACGGUUGUGAAAUUAAGGCUCAGAGAGGCUGGGCUUGCUAGGAAGUGUCACACAGCCUCUG